GGCAAGAUGGCCGAGUGGUCUAAGGCGCUGUGUUCAGGCUUGCAGUAGCAAUACCUGUACAAUUCGCAGUCUCUCUGAGGCGUGGGUUCGAAUCCCACUCUUGUCA